CCACUUCCAACGACGAAAAGAUGGCCACCAGAGCCACGCUGCUGAUCGCCUUUCUAUUGGUGUCGACCAGCAUGCUCGUUUCCGUGGUGGCAUCCAGAGAAGUUCCGUCGACAGAUCCGAUCAAUCCAGCAAACUCACUUCUGGGCGGAACUGGUCGCAAAUUCACAAUGACACGUGUGGAGAAGACGCGUGAGGUGGUCCCAGGCGGAACUGGUACGCAUUUCAUCGUCUUACCGUCGAUUUUUUUUUUCGUGGUCUUAUGGUCGAUUUAACUGUUAAUAUAUGCGAUAUCUGACUGAUCGAGAGCUUAUUUUUUUUCCUGCUCCGCAGGUGAGGGUGUCAGGGCUAUUUCCCAGGAGAAGAUCAUUUUCGGUGCGCCCAAUAAUUUUGUCUGGUCGACGCGCCUUCCGCCGUGCAGAGCACGAGCAUGCUAAAGAAGUCCAGAUGAUAUCAAGAGCUUUGUUUCCCCUGCACCUUCGUCCCGAUGAUAAAAUCUGUACUAACUAAACGGCUAAUCUUCGCCCGGAUGGCUUAGAUAAAAUGCACGAUUCUUUAUCGUUGUUUCCAUUUAAUUAACGCGAUGGAUCAAGACUGAAAAUAAAGGGGGAAACUUGUUCAGUUCACCUCCAUUACGUUUACAUCCGAUCCGAUAUGGUCGACCUACGUGUAUCGCUGCGAAACCUGCCUCCAUCAAAUUGACUAAGGAUGGCAAUUUUACCCAUGGGUACGGAUACCCACGGAUACCGUACCCGCAUGGGUAGGGUAUGGGAACAAUUUAAUACCCAUGGGUAGUACCCAUACCCUACCCAUUUAGUCAUGGGUAGGGCACGGCUAUAUCCUAUUACUCAUGGAUAUACUCAUACCCUACCCGUUUAUACUUACAUGUGCCCUUACCCGUGAUUCACAUGUGUAACUAUGAUAAAGUUGUGUCGUGAGCGUGUGAACCUAUGUUAAAGUUGUCACCA
rnacentral:lncRNA from 1 species